rnacentral:rRNA from 1 species
UAGAGUGUGNNNCNGGCUCAGGACGAACGCNGGCGGUAUGCUUAACACAUGCAAGUCGAACGAGACAAAAGAGAAGUGCUUGCACGGAUCUUUUAGAAAGUGGCGAACGGGUGAGUAACGCGUGGGUAACCUACCCUAUGGAAAGGAAUAGCCUCGGGAAACUGGGAGUAAUGCCUUAUAAGAUAUAUUUGUCGCAUGGCAGAUGUAUUAAAUGCUCCGGUGCCAUAGGAGGGGCCCGCGUCCCAUUAGCUAGUUGGUGAGAUAACAGCUCACCAAGGCGACGAUGGGUAACCGGUUUGAGAGGGCGAACGGUCACACUGAACUGAGACACGGCCCAGACUCNUACGGGAGGCAGCAGUGGGGAAUAUUGCGCAAUGGGGGAAACCCGGACGCAGCAAUACCGCUUGAGAGAAGAAGGUUUUCGGAUAGUAAAGAU